rnacentral:rRNA from 1 species
AGAAACCAACAGGGAUUGCCUCAGUAACGGCGAGUGAAGCGGCAACAGCUCAAAUUUGAAAUCUGGCUCUUUCAGGGUCCGAGUUGUAAUUUGUAGAAGAUGCUUUGGGUGUGGCUCCGGUCUAAGUUCCUUGGAACAGGACGUCAUAGAGGGUGAGAAUCCCGUACGUGACUGGGUGCCUUCGCUCGUGUAAAGCUCUUUCGACGAGUCGAGUUGUUUGGGAAUGCAGCUCAAAAUGGGUGGUAAAUUUCAUCUAAAGCUAAAUAUUGGCCAGAGACCGAUAGCGCACAAGUAGAGUGAUCGAAAGAUGAAAAGCACUUUGGAAAGAGAGUUAAACAGUACGUGAAAUUGUUGAAAGGGAAGCGCUUGCAACCAGACUUGCGCGCUGUUGAUCAUCCGAGCUUUUGCCCGGUGCACUCGGCAGCGCUCAGGCCAGCAUCGGUUUUGGUGGGCGGAUAAAGGCCUUGGGAAUGUAGCUCUCUUCGGGGAGUGUUAUAGCCCUCGGUGCAAUGCGCCCUACCGGGACCGAGGACCGCGCUUCGGCUAGGAUGCUGGCGUAAUGGUUGUAAGCGACC